rnacentral:lncRNA from 1 species
GUUUUACCUAAAGGAUGGGAGAAAUUGGGAAAUCACUUGUCAAGAUUACAGUCCAGGGACACAGACUGGUUAAAAGAUUAAGCCAUAAUCAUAGGAUUACAGAAGACAUUCUUGCCCCCUCACAUCAUACAACCACAUACCAGGUCUCUGGUUUAAUAACAGAAGAUUACAGCAGAAAGGUCUGCAUGCCAUAGACCCUAUUUAAGCAGAAAUCUUUAGGGAACCAAAAGACAAUAGAGUACACAAAACCAAGGACACUAGAGGAAAUUACAGUCUAUGAAACCACAAGUACAGCAAACAGUAAAUACAGCCUAAUUCAUACCCAGACAAAUGUAAACCUCACACUAAAGGCCUAUUUCCCUCAAUUCAGAUUACCUAAUACAUAGUGAGCAUAUGUUAUGGAUUGAGUUGUGUCUCCUAAAAAGUCAU